GACAGAGGGGGCAAGCGUUGCUCGGAAUUACUGGGCGUAAAGCGCGUGUAGGCGGCUUUGCAAGUCGGAUGUGAAAUCCCACGGCUCAACCGUGGAAGUGCAUCCGAAACUGCAUCGCUCGAGUCUCGGAGAGGAAGGUGGAAUGCUUGGUGUAGAGGUGAAAUUCGUAGAUAUCAAGCAGAACACCUGCGGCGAAGGCGGCCUUCUGGACGAUGACUGACGCUGAGACGCGAAAGCGUGGGGAGCAAACAGG
rnacentral:rRNA from 1 species